AACGGGGGGAGCAAGCAUUAUUCAAAUUGACUGGGCGUAGGGGCAAGUAAACGGAAAUUCUUUUCAGUAGUGAAAUGUUAAAUGAAAUUUUAUCGCGAUUACUGAUACGGAAGUUCUAGAGUUUAAUCGAGGAGAGCAGGAUCUCGAGUGUAAAGGUAGAAUUUAGCAAUACUUUGAGAAACCCCCAUGGGGCGAAGGCAGCAAUCUAGAUUAAAACUGACGUUGAGAGGCGAAAGCAUGGGGAGCAAAUAGG
rnacentral:rRNA from 1 species